GGACACUGAAGAACGUGGUGGGACAUCCAGUGAUGAGUGUUCAGACCAGAGCAGCUGUGUCUGCGUGUUGGGUCGUCGUUUCGUUGCCAGAGAAACGCGUGUCGGAAUAUUAACCUCGUAGCUCCAGUGCUGAAGUGAAGAAGCAACAUUUGGACACCGAACAUUUCUUGGUUGGUCAGCUACGUUUGUGGAAAGUUGAAAGACAAAGGACUUGACCCCUCCAGAGUCCAGACCUCAACAUCAUUGAACGAAUUUUGGAUUUCUUGGGUCGUGGGAAGUAGAAAGUGCAACCAACUUGUGAGACUGAACGUUGGAGACUGAAGAGUCUAUUGCCCAGAAAGCUUCACAGCAGUCUUACCAGUGGGGUUUACAGAAACAUAAAUCGGGAAAAACCAGCUCUGAGAAAUCCACGAUGACUGAAAUAUCUUUUUAUAUUUUUGGUAAAUUUGGCCAAAAUGCUAACGGCUUCAUUGCUUCCUGUGCCAA